rnacentral:tRNA from 1 species
AAGAAAUUAGUUUAAAUUAAAACAUUAUCUUGUCAAGAUAAAAAUAUUAUAAUUAAUAUUUCUUG